rnacentral:tRNA from 1 species
GGCUCGGUAGCUUAGUUGGUAAAGCGCUCGUCUAGCAUACAAGAGUCCUGGGUUCAAAUCCAAGCCAAGCAC